rnacentral:rRNA from 1 species
UCAGGAUGAACGCUAGCGGCAGGCCUAAUACAUGCAAGUCGAGGGGUAACGGUCACUUCUGGGAAUACUGUACCGGCGCAGGGGUGCGUAACGCGUAUGCAACCUACCUUUAACUGGGAGAUAGCCCCGAGAAAUCCGGAUUAAUACCCCAUAAUGAUAUUGAUUGGCAUCAUUUGAUAUUUAAAGCUCCGGCGGUUAAAGAUGGGCAUGCGUGACAUUAGUUUGUUGGUGAGGUAACGGCUCACCAAGACUAUGAUGUCUAGGGGUUCUGAGAGGAUGAUCCCCCACACUGGUACUGAAACACGGACCAGACUCCUACGGGAGGCGGCGGUACGGAAUAUUGCGCAGCGGAGGCACUCUGACGCAACCAUGCCGCGUGAAGGAAGAAGGCUUUCUGAUUCGUAAACUUCCUUUAUAUAGGAAUAAACACAUCCUCGUGACG